UCCCGCGUGGUCUAACGGUUAGGAUAUGGCCCUUUCAAGGCCGGGGCCCGGGUUCGAUUCCCGGCGCGGGAA